AGGCCGAGCUUGAUCUCUUCUUCU
rnacentral:siRNA from 1 species